UAGUCACUACGAUGUUGGCUCGGUUCACUCAGACAAAAUCAACCCUACGCUUCUCAAGCACACACACACAAAAAAAAGAGCUUUAGAUUUUGCGUAUCUUCCAUGUGUUUUGAUUGAGCCGUGCCAAUAUCCUAGUGCCUUUU
rnacentral:pre_miRNA from 2 species